rnacentral:rRNA from 1 species
GACGAACGCUGGCGGCGUGCUUAACACAUGCAAGUCGAACGGAAAGGCCCUGCUUUUGUGGGGUGCUCGAGUGGCGAACGGGUGAGUAACACGUGAGUAACCUGCCCUUGACUUUGGGAUAACUUCAGGAAACUGGGGCUAAUACCGGAUAGGAGCUCCUGCUGCAUGGUGUGGGUUGGAAAGUUUCGGCGGUUGGGGAUGGACUCGCGGCUUAUCAGCUUGUUGGUGGGGUAGUGGCUUACCAAGGCUUUGACGGGUAGCCGGCCUGAGAGGGUGACCGGCCACAUUGGGACUGAGAUACGGCCCAGACUCCUACGGGAGGCAGCAGUGGGGAAUAUUGCACAAUGGGCGGAAGCCUGAUGCAGCAACGCCGCGUGCGGGAUGACGGCCUUCGGGUUGUAAACCGCUUUCGCCUGUGACGAAGCGUGAGUGACGGUAAUGGGUAAAGAAGCACCGGCUAACUACGUGCCAGCAGCCGCGGUGAUACGUAGGGUGCGAGCGUUGUCCGGAUUUAUUGGGCGUAAAGGGCUCGUAGGUGGUUGAUCGCGUCGGAAGUGUAAUCUUGGGGCUUAACCCUGAGCGUGCUUUCGAUACGGGUUGACUUGAGGAAGGUAGGGGAGAAUGGAAUUCCUGGUGGAGCGGUGGAAUGCGCAGAUAUCAGGAGGAACACCAGUGGCGAAGGCGGUUCUCUGGGCCUUUCCUGACGCUGAGGAGCGAAAGCGUGGGGAGCGAACAGGCUUAGAUACCCUGGUAGUCCACGCUGUAAACGGUGGGUACUAGGUGUGGGGUCCAUUCCACGGGUUCCGUGCCGUAGCUAACGCUUUAAGUACCCCGCCUGGGGAGUACGGCCGCAAGGCUAAAACUCAAAGGAAUUGACGGGGCCCCGCACAAGCGGCGGAGCAUGCGGAUUAAUUCGAUGCAACGCGUAGAACCUUACCUGGGUUUGACAUGGAUCGGGAGUGCUCAGAGAUGGGUGUGCCUCUUUUGGGGUCGGUUCACAGGUGGUGCAUGGCUGUCGUCAGCUCGUGUCGUGAGAUGUUGGGUUAAGUCCCGCAACGAGCGCAACCCUUGUUCACUGUUGCCAGCACGUUAUGGUGGGGACUCAGUGGAGACCGCCGGGGUCAACUCGGAGGAAGGUGGGGAUGACGUCAAGUCAUCAUGCCCCUUAUGUCCAGGGCUUCACGCAUGCUACAAUGGCUGGUACAGAGAGUGGCGAGCCUGUGAGGGUGAGCGAAUCUCGGAAAGCCGGUCUCAGUUCGGAUUGGGGUCUGCAACUCGACCUCAUGAAGUCGGAGUCGCUAGUAAUCGCAGAUCAGCAACGCUGCGGUGAAUACGUUCCCGGG